UACGUAGGGGGCAAGCGUUGUCCGGAUUUAUUGGGCGUAAAGAGCGUGUAGGCGGCCGUACAGGUCAGCUGUGAAAACUCGAGGCUCAACCUCGAGACGUCGGUUGAAACCGUACGGCUAGAGUCCGGAAGAGGAGAGUGGAAUUCCCGGUGUAGCGGUGAAAUGCGCAGAUAUCGGGAAGAACACCCGUGGCGAAGGCGGCUCUCUGGGACGGUACUGACGCUGAGGCGCGAAAGCCAGGGGAGCAAACGGG
rnacentral:rRNA from 1 species